rnacentral:sRNA from 1 species
GCAGGAUGGGUUUACAAUCACUUCUCUUCAGAACCAACUGACCAUACCUAAUGUGGGAAUUGUUGAGUGGUAAGGGACUGGCCAGACAACAGUGACAGGUGGCCAAGAAGAUGGAGGGAGGCUAAACGAGGGUUCUGAUAUCAGGGCUGUGUGCCUUGAAGGACAUGCAGGAUUGCAGUAGGUGGAAGAACAGACAUGCUGUGUUCUGGGAAGGUACGGAACCCUCAGGGAACUGGAGGGUAGUUCCUUCAGCUGCAGCUUGAAGAGCUCAGCUAUGCUGAAUGAGUUUGGGAAGCAGGAAAGCCUGGGAGCAGGGAGGAGGGGUUGCCAGCUUCCUUCCGGUUUCUCUCCCACUCCUCUUCCUGUGGUUCUGAGAAUCAGCUCCUCCUUCGAAGUGUAUGGAGGGACUUUCCUAGCCUCCUAUGUGAACUGAAGCUAGACUGACUGGAGCCUACAACAAUGGCUUUCCAUUGAGAGUCAGAACUCAGGCUUAGGGACAGCAUUCUCCAUAGAGGAGGAAGGGACCGUAUUGUUAUCUAUUUGUGGAAAGACUCCACACUGAGCAUAGUGCAUCUAAUUAUAACCAGCGUCAGCAGGCUGUUUUCUUCUGCCACUGAUAUAAAACUUGGUUCAGGACACACAUGCAUACAUGCAGCCCUCCAAAAUCGGAACUAUUCAGCUAUACUCCAAGUUGGAGGUGAGAAUAACUGGCGAGCCUAUACAGCAGUUUCUAGAAAUAAGGCAAUGUGACUGCAGACUCUUCUCUAGGUAAAAUGUCAACAUGAUACAAAGAAGGCUGAACCCCCUUGAUGAUAUAUCUAUGUUGCAGGAAAGAGUUCAUUAAAGAAAGGGGUUGAAAAGCUGCACUAGAUGCUCUGGGUGUUCCUGGAUUUGCACUCAAGCUCAGCCCAACAGGAAUAGUUUUAAAAGACAUUUCUGUCCUCGAAAAUUGAAAGGAUCCAUGUCCUAAAGGAAACAGGAGAUCAAACAUCUUGCUAGGAAUGUGGCAAUCAGCUCAGGCAAGUAUUGGGUUGCUGGAAAUUGAUCGUGUGCUUGGAUUCUUCAGGACCUGAGUCUUUCUGUAAUUUCAGGGGGAAAAAAGUUACUUUGAAACCAGUGUGCUGGGCGGGUCUUCCGUUAAUGGCAUCCCAAAGGAAUUCAACCUACACAGGCAGCUGGGGCUGCAUGAUUUGCAGGGCUGUCC